GGUGAACGCUAGCGGCAGGCCUAAUACAUGCAAGUCGGACGGGAUUGAGAAGCUUGCUUUUCAUGAGAGUGGCGCACGGGUGCGUAACACGUAUGUAACCUACCCAUAUCAGGGGGAUGGCCUCUCGAAAGAGAGAUUAAGACCGCAUAACAUUAUUGAAUGGCAUCAUUUAAUAAUCAAAUAUUUAUAGGAUAUGGAUGGGCAUGCGGAACAUUAGCUAGUUGGUAAGGUAACGGCUUACCAAGGCUACGAUGUUUAGGGGAUCUGAGAGGAUGACCCCCCACACUGGUACUGAGACACGGACCAGACUGCUACGGGAGGCAGCAGUAAGGAAUAUUGGUCAAUGGACGGAAGUCUGAACCAGCCAUGCCGCGUGCAGGAAGACGGCCCUAUGGGUUGUAAACUGCUUUUGCAGGGGAAUAAACCUCGAUACGUGUAUCGAGCUGAAUGUACUCUGAGAAUAAGGAUCGGCUAACUCCGUGCCAGCAGCCGCCGUAA
rnacentral:rRNA from 1 species